AAAAAAACAAACUCUGGGUUUUCGUGUCAAACUUUGACUGUCCGUCUUAUAUGAAAAUUUUUUAUAAUUCAUAUUUUCAUUAUUGUUAGAUGAUAAAACAUAAUUAAUAUUUUAUGCGUGACUUGUCUUUUUUAAUUUUUUUCAUAAUUUUUUCAAAUAAGACGGACGAUCGAACGUUGGAUACGGAAACCAAUGUUUGUCUUUUUU
rfam:Oryza sativa (indica cultivar-group) chromosome 5, whole genome shotgun sequence.